UACGGAGGGGGCUAGCGUUGUUCGGAAUUACUGGGCGUAAAGCGCACGUAGGCGGACUGUUAAGUCGGGGGUGAAAUCCUGGGGCUCAACCUCAGAAUUGCCUCCGAUACUGGCAGUCUCGAGUGCGGGAGAGGUGAGUGGAAUUCCCGGUGUAAGCGGUGAAAUGCGCAGAUAUCAGGAAGAACCACCCGUGGCUAAGGCGGCUCUCUAGUACGGUACUGACGCUGAGACGCGAAAGCGUGGGGAGCGAACAGG
rnacentral:rRNA from 1 species